rnacentral:rRNA from 1 species
UACAGAGGGUGCGAGCGUUGUUCGGAAUUAUUGGGCGUAAAGAGCGUGUAGGCGGCCAUGUAGGUCCGUUGUGAAAACUCGAGGCUCAACCUCGAGACGCCGAUGGAAACCAUGUGGCUAGAGUCCGGAAGAGGAGAGUGGAAUUCCUGGUGUAGCGGUGAAAUGCGCAGAUAUCAGGAAGAACACCCGUGGCUAAGGCGGCUCUCUAGUACGGUACUGACGCUGAGACGCGAAAGCGUGGGUAGCAAACAGG